rfam:Candida albicans SC5314 chromosome 3 sequence.
AGCAUUGUGACGCAGUGGAAGCGUGCGAGGCUCAUAACCUCGAAGUCCCUGGAUCGAAACCAGGCAAUGCUA